UUUAGAGUUUGAUUCCCUGCUCAGAACGAACGCUGGCGGCGUGCUUAACACAUGCAAGUCGAACGUGAAAGGGGCUUCGGCCCCGAGUAAAGUGGCGCACGGGUGAGUAACACGUGGGCAAUCUACCCUUCAGCCUGGAAUAACCCCGCGAAAGCGGGGCUAAUACCGGUUAAGACCACGGAUCUACGGAAAUGUGGUAAAAGGCGGGGAUCUUCGGACCUGCCACUGAGGGAUGGGCCCGCGGCCGAUUAGCUAGUUGGUGAGGUAAUGGCUCACCAAGGCGACGAUCGGUAGCUGGUUUGAGAGAACGACCAGCCACACUGGAACUGACACACGGUCCAGACUCCUACGGGAGGCAGCAGUGGGGAAUAUUGCGCAAUGGGCGAAAGCCUGACGCAGCGACGCCGCGUGGGUGAUGAAGGCCUUCGGGUCGUAAAGCCCUGUCAGGAGGGAAGAAAUACCGGAUGCUAAUACCAUCCGGGACUGACGGUACCUCCAAAGGAAGCACCG
rnacentral:rRNA from 1 species